UACGUAGGGUGCGAGCGUUAGUCGGAAUUACUGGGCGUAAAGGGUGCGCAGGCGGCUCUGUAAGUCAGAUGUGAAAUCCCCGGGCUUAACCUGGGAAUUGCGUUUGAAACUACAGGGCUAGAGUGUAGCAGAGGGGGGUGGAAUUCCGCGUGUAGCAGUGAAAUGCGUAGAGAUGCGGAGGAACACCGAUGGCGAAGGCAGCCCCCUGGGCUAACACUGACGCUCAGGCACGAAAGCGUGGGGAGCAAACAGG
rnacentral:rRNA from 1 species